CCUACGGGAGGCAGCAGUGGGGGAUAUUGCACAAUGGGGGAAACUCUGAUGCAGCGACGCCGCGUGAGUGAAGAAGUAUUUCGGUAUGUAAAGCUUUAUCAGCAGGGAAGUAAAAAGUUGGUACCUGACUAAGAAGCCUCGGCUAACUACGUGCCAGCAGCCGCGGUAAUACGUAGGGGGCAAGCGUUGUCCGGAUUUACUGGGUGUAAAGGGAGCGUAGGCGGAGAUACAAGUCGGAAGUGAAAGACUCGGGCUCAACCUGGGAAUUGCUUUUGAAACUGGAUGGCUGGAGUGCUGGAGAGGUGAGCGGAAUUCCUAGUGUAGCGGUGAAAUGCGUAGAUAUUAGGAAGAACACCAGUGGCGAAGGCAGCUUACUGGACAGUAACUGACAUUGAGGCUCGAAAGCGUGGGGAGCAAACAGGAUUAGAUACCCGGGUAGUC
rnacentral:rRNA from 1 species